rnacentral:tRNA from 1 species
CCUGAUAUCUCAGCUGGUAAAAGAAUCUGCCUGCAAUGCAGGAUACCCUGGUUCAAUUCCUGGGUCAGGA